UACGGAGGAUGCGAGCGUUAUCCGGAUUUAUUGGGUUUAAAGGGUGCGUAGGCGGACUGUCAAGUCAGCGGUAAAAUACGGGGGCUCAACCUCCGCCCGCCGUUGAAACUGACGGUCUUGAGUGGGCGAGAAGUAUGCGGAAUGCGUGGUGUAGCGGUGAAAUGCAUAGAUAUCACGCAGAACUCCGAUUGCGAAGGCAGCAUACCGGCGCCCAACUGGCGCUGAAGCACGAAGGCGUGGGUAUCGAACAGG
rnacentral:rRNA from 1 species